rnacentral:rRNA from 1 species
CGGUGGGCGGGGGUGCUAUACAUGCAAGUAGAACGCUGAAGAGAGGAGCUUGCUCUUCUUGGAUGAGUUGCGAACGGGUGAGUAACGCGUAGGUAACCUGCCUUGUAGCGGGGGAUAACUAUUGGAAACGAUAGCUAAUACCGCAUAACAAUGGAUGACACAUGUCAUUUAUUUGAAAGGGGCAAUUGCUCCACUACAAGAUGGACCUGCGUUGUAUUAGCUAGUAGGUGAGGUAACGGCUCACCUAGGCGACGAUACAUAGCCGACCUGAGAGGGUGAUCGGCCACACUGGGACUGAGACACGGCCCAGACUCCUACGGGAGGCAGCAGUAGGGAAUCUUCGGCAAUGGGGGCAACCCUGACCGAGCAACGCCGCGUGAGUGAAGAAGGUUUUCGGAUCGUAAAGCUCUGUUGUAAGUCAAGAACGAGUGUGAGAGUGGAAAGUUCACACUGUGACGGUAGCUUACCAGAAAGGGACGGCUAACUACGUGCCAGCAGCCGCGGUAAUACGUAGGUCCCGAGCGUUGUCCGGAUUUAUUGGGCGUAAAGCGAGCGCAGGCGGUUUGAUAAGUCUGAAGUUAAAGGCUGUGGCUCAACCAUAGUUCGCUUUGGAAACUGUCAAACUUGAGUGCAGAAGGGGAGAGUGGAAUUCCAUGUGUAGCGGUGAAAUGCGUAGAUAUAUGGAGGAACACCGGUGGCGAAAGCGGCUCUCUGGUCUGUAACUGACGCUGAGGCUCGAAAGCGUGGGGAGCGAACAGGAUUAGAUACCCUGGUAGUCCACGCCGUAAACGAUGAGUGCUAGGUGUUGGAUCCUUUCCGGGAUUCAGUGCCGCAGCUAACGCAUUAAGCACUCCGCCUGGGGAGUACGACCGCAAGGUUGAAACUCAAAGGAAUUGACGGGGGCCCGCACAAGCGGUGGAGCAUGUGGUUUAAUUCGAAGCAACGCGAAGAACCUUACCAGGUCUUGACAUCCCGAUGCUAUUUCUAGAGAUAGAAAGUUACUUCGGUACAUCGGUGACAGGUGGUGCAUGGUUGUCGUCAGCUCGUGUCGUGAGAUGUUGGGUUAAGUCCCGCAACGAGCGCAACCCCUAUUGUUAGUUGCCAUCAUUCAGUUGGGCACUCUAGCGAGACUGCCGGUAAUAAACCGGAGGAAGGUGGGGAUGACGUCAAAUCAUCAUGCCCCUUAUGACCUGGGCUACACACGUGCUACAAUGGUUGGUACAACGAGUUGCGAGUCGGUGACGGCAAGCUAAUCUCUUAAAGCCAAUCUCAGUUCGGAUUGUAGGCUGCAACUCGCCUACAUGAAGUCGGAAUCGCUAGUAAUCGCGGAUCAGCACGCCGCGGUGAAUACGUUCCCGGGCCUUGUACACACCGCCCGUCACACCACGAGAGUUUGUAACACCCGAAGUCGGUGAGGUAACCUUUGGAGCCAGCCGCCUAAGGUGGAAUAAU